CCAAUAGCGUAUAUUAAAGUUGUUGCAGUUAAAAAGCUCGUAGUUGAAUUUCGGGAUUGACGUGACGGUCGUGCCUUAAGGGGUAUGAACUGUUACAGUCAAUUUCUCACCUUCUGGAGAAAUAUGAUGUCCUUAAUUGGGUGUCAUAUGGAACCAGGACUUUUACCUUGAAAAAAUUAGAGUGUUUAAAGCAAGCUUAUUGCUCGAAUACAUUAGCAUG
rnacentral:rRNA from 1 species